GGAUAGCUCAAUUGGGUAGAGCAACCGCGCGGGCCAAGCCCGUUCGGUCGGUCGCGGGUUCGACUCCCGCUCCA
rnacentral:tRNA from 1 species